CUCAAAAGGUUUAACCUAGAGCAGAGGUCAGCAAACUGCAGCCUUUGAACCAAAUCCGGCCCAGAAGUGAAAAUAUUUUUAGAUGAACAUUGGCAAUGGAUUUGAUGAUAAAGAACACUAACUUUAAAUUCCAACUAAGCAGAAUGUUAUCACCUCCAAAAAUGAUUCCAUUCUUCUCAUUAUUAAACCUAUGCUACAAAAAAACCUGCCUUCGAUUAUUAUUAUUACAUUUUGAGUUUCAUCAAUUAAAUAAUUGUGGAAAUUUUUAUUUUACUCUAUAAGUACCUACAUAAUAUUCCAAAUUUGCUUCUUGGCCUGUAAAGCCUAAGAUAUUUGUGAUAUGGCCCUUUACUGAAAAAGUUUGCUGACCCCUGGCCACAAGAAUAAAGUUUAGAAUGGGAUGUGAUAUGUUUCAUCUUGCCUUACACCCCAGGAGUGGGAGAAAACCAAAUUGGCAGCAGAGUGGGCAGAGAUGACAUCCAUAUAUAAAUGGACUGUGGAACACCUUGUUAUGAAGGAAGGCCUGUCAGCAGUCAAAGAAUGGCUUGGUUCUCUUUUGCAAGUCUUCGUAUCACCAGAAUCAGUGCUUUUAGCAUUCGAGAAAGGCAUUUUCGUUUCUUCCUUUCUGCACCUGCACCUUUUUUCAGGGACUUCAGAAACGCCUUCACGAGUCAGCAAUGACUUGAAGAUCCGGCCAAUGGCUAAGAUGUUAAUAACCAUGCUGCCACAAGAUGGCGCCCACCACCCAAUAUCUCGGACUUCCUGAUCAAACAGGUAGGUACUAAUUUUUGUGUGGCAACGUACAGUAUAAAAUUGUAUUAUUUUAUUUUAUUUUGUCAUUUUAUUUUAUUUUAUUUUAUAUUUUAAACAGGGUGUCGCUCUUUCACCCGGGCUGGAGUGCAGUGGUGCAGUCACGACUCACUGCAGCCUCAAACUUCUUAGCUCAAGUGACCUUCCUGCCUCAGCUUCCCAAAUAGCUGAGACUACUGGCACACGCCACCAUGCCCAGCUAAGUUUUUAUUUUUUGUAGAGACGGGGUCUUGCUAUGUUGCCCAGGCUGAUCUCAAACUCCUGGGCUCAAGCGAUUCUCCUGCCUCAGCCUCCCAAAGUGCUGGGAUUAAGUUUAUGAAAUGUGCAUAUGUCUAAAAGGUUUGCUUCAGGUUUUUUGUUUGUUUUUUGGUUUUUUUUUUUGAGACAGAGUGUGCAGUGGCGCAAUCUCGGCUCACCGCAAGCUCCGCCUCCCGGGUUUACGCCAUUCUCCUGCCCCAGCCUCCCGAGUAGCUGGGGACUACAGGCGCCUGCCACCGUGGCCGGCUAAUUUUCUUUUUUUUUUUUUUUUUUGUAUUUUUAGUAGGGACGGGUUUCACCGUGCUCUGGAUUUCCUGACCUCGUGAUCCGCCCGCCUUGGCCCCCUCAAAGUGCUGGGAUUACAGGCGUGUGCCACGGCGCCCGGCAGGCUUUUGAGCAUCUUCAGGUAAGGAAAUCCAAGUUUCUAAAUAAAAACAACUUUGAUGCAUAGUUUGCCCUAUAGGCACCAAAGUGCUUAAGAUGUAAGAAAAGGAAACACCAUGAAACGAUCUUUUGCUCGUCCCAUUUUGGGACAGAGGAUUUUAACUAUGUUCUAUGCUAGGGAGGGAUCAAUUUUAUAAUUGAUGAAUCGUAUAAAAUCAAGCUCAGGAUUCCCAAUGUAUCUUCUAAAUCUACUUACUGAGUUAAAUUUUGAAAACAAAACAAAUACAAUUAUGCAAGAAAUAUACCCAGGUGAAAAAUGUUCAAAUAGUUAAACAUAUGUCUGAUGUAUCUGCUGUGACUUAGUCCACCCACUGAAAUGUGCAGAGAUGUUUGUUUUUUAUGACUCCAUGCUGUGUCUGUCUCUGAGCUUUCAUCCUGCCUGACUCUCCA
ensembl:lncRNA